CUUGGGUAAUCACGAAGUAGUCCGGACUUAUUCUGACCUAAAUGCUUGUAUAUAUCUGAUAUAAUGUUGAAAGGGGGAAUAGCGAACUGAUGAAGUGCUGCAGGUGGCAACCAUUAAUAUGCAUCACUAAUGUUGAUUUGAAGCACCCAUGAGAUUUCUCUUUUCUGACAUCUGCAAUUCCAAUUGACAAACCUCAAAACCAUGAGGCGAAACAAAAAUAGUGACGAUGGCGAACGGUGCAAGCAGCACAUUUACCCAGAGAUCAAAAAUUUAUUUGAGCAUCCUGAAAGCGAUUGCAUCGAUACAGUGACAGGGAUCAUCUGUAGGA